rnacentral:rRNA from 1 species
GCGUAGAUAAAACAAUUAUGAUCUAAUGAUGUAGUAUCAAAAAUUAGACCCGAAGCUUAGUGAUCUUACCACAAUCAGGAAUAUAAAAGUCCGAACGGGUUAUCGUUGUAAAGAUAUCCGAAGAAUUGUGGUAAGUUAGUGAAAGACAAUACUGACUAAGAUAGCUGGUUUUCUGCGAAACCUAUAUAAGUAGGUAAUUUAAAUAGAAUAUCAGAAGGUACAGAAUUGUGAUCUCAUGCAACUAGUACUUUUUUUCCUGUUAAAGCAGGGGAUAUGAAUAAAGUGCUUUUUGCGGACAUUGGGGGGUCGUGAAGGCUCUAUCAGUGAGUAUUUGUUCUCGGAAGGACUAGAUAUGAAUAUUGAAUAAUCAGACAUAGUACGAUAAGGUUGUAUGUCUAAAGGGAAACAGCCCAGAACAAGAGUUAAUAAGGUUCCAAAAUUAUUGUUAAGUGAAAUUAAGGGAGUAUUUAUCCCAAGCGGCCAGGGAAUAGGCUUAGAAGCGGUCAUUUUCUGAAGACCUCGUAACAGAGCACUGGUUUUGUUUUAAUUAAUUAUAAUAGAUAACAAGAAUAAAAGCACCGAAAAUUUAACGGAUCUAAACAAUAUACCGAGACCUUGUCCAAAUAUAUUAAUGUAUUUAUAUUGUAUAUUUGGGGUAGCGGAACAUUGGGGAAGUUUCUUAUUAUGCCUUUAUAAGGCAUAAAAUAUUUAACAACCCAAGCGAUAAUGCUGACAUGAGUAACGAUAAAGGGGAAUACCCUCGCCUAAAGCUUAUGGAAUUUAAUUAAAGUUACGGCCUCUAAGUUUAUACCGUACCUAAAUACUACCACAAGUAAGCAAGUAGAGUAUACGAAGGCGUUCGAGUGAACAAUCAUUAAGGAACUCGGCAAAUUGACUCACGUAACUUCGGGAGAAGGUGGGCCGUCCCUUUUGAUUAAUAUCAGAUAUGGGUUAGGAGGCACAGAAUGGUGUUGUACGACUGUUUAAUUAAAACAAAGCACGCUGCAAAGAAAUAAAUUCGAAGUAUUGGGUGUGAUCUCUGCCCGAUGGCGGCUGGCUACCGGAUUUGCUUAGUUGACUAAUAUAAGCUAGGUUUUGAAGGAACCCCCGUUCAAUGGCGGCCUUACAGAUGAGGGUCCUAAGGUAGCGGAAUACCCUGUCCGUUAAAUGCGGUCUUGCAUGAAUGAUGUAACGAUACAACAGCUGUCUCAAUGAUUGGCUCGGUGAAAUUGGAAUAACUGUGCAGAUACAGUUUACCUCUAGUUAGACGAGAAGACCCUAUGCAGCUUUACUGUUGCUAGUUACCGAAUAUGACAUAAUGAGUUUUAAUUUAUAAGGUAAUUGGUGAGAUAGAAUUGAAACACCUUUAUUUCAUUUAUCAUAUUAUAGAAACCAUAAUUUAUAGGAACAAUUGCUAGGUGGCAGUUUAUGCGAGUUUAACGGCUUAAUCUUGCUUUACUGUUUGACUUACACGUCUUUCAGUCGCGUAAGCGGGGCAUAUGAUCACAAGAUGCAGAAAGGAAAGGUCUUGGAUUAUUGAAAAAGCUACGCUAGGGAUAACAGGCUAAUUGCGCGAGAGAGUUCAAAUUGAGUGCGGAGUUUGGCACCUCGAUGUCGGCUUAGCUCAUCCACAUGAAUGCAGGAGUCAUGAAGGGUUCGACUGUUCGUCGAUUAAGGAGCUACACGAGCUGGGUUAAAUACGUCGUGAGACAGUAUGGUUUCUAUCUUCUAGAGGAAGUUAGAAUAAAUUAAGGAUAGCCCCUUGUACGAAAGGAGUUGGGUAUAUUAACCUAUGGUUUACCUGUUGUUUAUCUUUCUAUAUUAAU